GCUAUAUAUAUAUAUAUACACACACACACACACACACACAUUAUUUUUAUUAAAAUUAACAAAGAGAUCUGAUGGUGUUUUAUUUGUUCAGGACGGGCGUCUGAUAGCAGAUCCAUCAGAUCCUCAAACACUGAUUGUUCCUGUGACGGCUGUAAAAUCUGAUCGUCUCGUCACGUCUCACUGUGUGAAUCUGAAUCAUGAAAUCAUCUGUGAUUCUGCUGAUGGAGUAAAUCAACUUAAUCGCUCAACAUUCAUCUGUUUUCAUUAUCAGUAUCCUUAUGUUCGUUGGGUGAAAAAGAAAACCUCAAUAAACAAAGUAAAAAAGAAUUUGACUGAUAUCAUUCNUGAGAUAAACUCUGUGUUGAACUGAAUCUUGUGUGAAUCUUCAAGUGAAUCAGGAUGAUUGUGGAUGUGUUUUUCAGUGAGGAAUGAAACUGCAGCGACUCCAAACUCAGAUCUCCUGAAUGAAGUGAGUCCAGAUCUCCAACAUUCAGUAGAUCACUUCUGGUGGCUUUUGGCUGUUUUCAUCAUUGUUCUUCUCAUCAUCUUCUUGAUCUGUUUGUUGAAGCGUAAAAGCAUUUUCAGAUGUUUUCAGAGGUUCAUCUGUCAGCGUGACGAUGAUGAUUCAGAAAACAGGGAUCCUGAAGCUGCUGUCCAAAUGAUCUGAUGCUCCUGAUUCACUGAAUCAAUCUCAGUGUGAAUCGACUCACGUCAUUUACUCAAACGUCACUGUGAUCUUUGACAUGAAGAUGAUGAAGGGAGUUUGCAUUCAUUCUGAGCUUCUCAACUCUUAUUUAUUCUCAUUCGUCCUCAAAUGUAAUGCAUAUGAUUACAUGAGAUAUAAAACACUGAAGCAUCUUACAAUCAAAAUGUGUUGCGUUUGUUUUGUACAUCAUUUAUCAGUUUAAUAAUUCAUGAUCAUUUCGUCAUUUACAUCUAUUCAUUCAAUCGUUUAUAUUGUUUUAUUAUGUUUUAGAUUAUUGUUAUUAGGUUGUUCAUCCUGGUGUUUUUCAUGCUUCAUGUAAUGUGUGUCAUCAUGAAUGAGACGAGGGUGAAUGUCUCCAGCUGCAGGGUUUUAAAGGAUGUCUUGUUAUACAGUAAUAACUCUUGCUGUAGGUUGUACUGAUCAGAUGAAGUCUGACUGAGCAGUGAAACAGACACAACUAAGGUUUUGCAGAGGAGCAGUCAUCUGAGUGUUCAAACUAAAAUCAGGUGGAAAGAACAGGGAGGAGAGGAAAAAUAAACAGAUGAAGUAUCAGAUUGGUGAUGUAUGU
ensembl:lncRNA